AGUGAACGCUGGCGGUAGGCCUAACACAUGCAAGUCGAACGGCAGCACAGUAAGAGCUUGCUCUUACGGGUGGCGAGUGGCGGACGGGUGCGGAAUACAUCGGAAUCUACUUUUUCGUGGGGGAUAACGUAGGGAAACUUACGCUAAUACCGCAUACGACCUACGGGUGAAAGCAGGGGAUCUUCGGACCUUGCGCGAUUGAAGGAGCCGAUGUCGGAUUAGCUAGUUGGCGGGGUAAAGGCCCACCAAGGCGACGAUCCGUAGCUGGUCUGAGAGGAUGAUCAGCCACACUGGAACUGAGACACGGUCCAGACUCCUACGGGAGGCAGCAGUGGGGAAUAUUGGACAAUGGGCGAAAGCCUGAUCCAGCCAUACCGCGUGGGUGAAGAAGGUCUUCGGGUUGUAAAGCCCUUUUGUUGGGAAAGAAAAGCAGCAGGUUAAUACCCUGCUGUUCUGACGUUACCAAAAGAAUAAGCACCGGCUAACUUCGUG
rnacentral:rRNA from 1 species